UACGAAGGGGGCUAGCGUUGUUCGGAAUUACUGGGCGUAAAGCGCGCGCAGGCGGUUCUUUAAGUCAAGGGUGAAAUCCCGGAGCUCAACUCCGGAACUGCCAUUGAAACUGUUGAACUUGAGUACGAGAGAGGUGAGUGGAAUUCCCAGUGUAGAGGUGAAAUUCGUAGAUAUUGGGAAGAACACCGGUGGCGAAGGCGGCUCACUGGCUCGUAACUGACGCUCAGGCGCGAUAGCGUGGGGAUCAAACAGG
rnacentral:rRNA from 1 species